rnacentral:rRNA from 1 species
UACGUAGGGUGCAAGCGUUGUCCGGAAUUAUUGGGCGUAAAGAGCUUGUAGGCGGUUUGUCGCGUCUGCUGUGAAAUUUCGGGGCUCAACCCCGAACUUGCAGUGGGUACGGGCAGACCAGAGUGUGGUAGGGGAGACUGGAAUUCCUGGUGUAGCGGUGAAAUGCGCAGAUAUCAGGAAGAACACCAAUGGCGAAAGCAGCUUUCUGGGACGGUACUGACGCUGAGACGCGAAAGCGUGGGGAGCGAACAGG